GACGAACCGUGCGAACGUUGUUCGGAAUCACUGGGCUUAAAGGGCGCGUAGGCGGCCCGCCGCGUCCGGGGUGAAAUCCUCCCGCUCAACGGGAGAACGGCCUCGGAUACGGGCGGGCUGGAGGGGGGUAGGGGCAGGCGGAACUGUGGGUGGAGCGGUGAAAUGCGUUGAGAUCCACAGGAACUCCGGUGGCGAAGGCGGCCUGCUGGACCCCAUCUGACGCUGAGGCGCGAAAGCUAGGGGAGCAAACAGG
rnacentral:rRNA from 1 species